rnacentral:rRNA from 1 species
GAGAACGCUGGCGGCGUGGAUUAGGCAUGCAAGUCGAACGGUAUCAUCCUUUCGGGGGUGAGAGAGUGGCGAACUGGUGAGUAACACGUAGGUUAUCUACCCUCAAGACGGGGACAACCCAGGGAAACUUGGGCUAAUACCGGAUGUGAGCAACUUUUAGUUGUUUGAAAGGUGGCGUAAGCUGUCGCUUGGGGAUGAGCCUGCGUCCUAUUAGUUAGUUGGUGAGGUAACGGCUCACCUAGGCAAUGAUAGGUAGGCGGCCUUAACGGGUGGUCGCCCACACUGGGAUUGAGAUACGGCCCAGACUCCUACGGGAGGCAGCAGUCGAGAAUAGUCUACAAUGGUCGGAAGACUGAUAGUGCGACGCCGCGUGAACGAUGAAUCCCUUCGGGGUGUAAAGUUCUUUUAUAUGUGAGCAGUGCUUCUUAUAUUAACAGUAUGGGGAGAGAGAUAUUAGCAUAUGAAUAAGCAACGGCUAACUCCGUG